rnacentral:rRNA from 1 species
ACCCCAGACUCCUACGGGAGGCAGCAGUGGGGAAUAUUGCACAAUGGGGGGAACCCUGAUGCAGCGACGCCGCGUGGGUGAAGGAGCACCUCGGUGCGUAAAGCCCUAUCGGCAGGGAAGAAACAGACGGUACCCCUUGAAUAAGCCACGGCUAACUACGUGCCAGCAGCCGCGGUAAUACGUAGGUGGCAAGCGUUGUCCGGAUUUACUGGGUGUAAAGGGCGUGCAGCCGGAGAGACAAGUCAGAUGUGAAAUCCACGGGCUCAACCCGUGAACUGCAUUUGAAACUGUUUCCCUUGAGUGUCGGAGAGGUAAUCGGAAUUCCUUGUGUAGCGGUGAAAUGCGUAGAUAUAGGGAAGAACACCAGUGGCGAAGGCGGAUGACUGGACGGCAACUGACGGUGGGGCGCGAAAGCGUGGGGAGCAAACAGGAUUAGAUACCCGAGUAG